UACAGAGACUGCAAGCGUUAUUCGGAUUCACUGGGCGUAAAGGGUGCGCAGGCGGCCAAGUGUGUUAGGCGUGAAAGCCCGGGGCUUAACCCCGGAAUUGCACCUAAAACUACAUGGCUAGAGCAUUGGAGAGGGUAGCGGAAUUCACGGUGUAGCAGUGAAAUGCGUAGAUAUCGUGAGGAACACCAGAGGCGAAGGCGGCUACCUGGACAAUUGCUGACGCUCAGGCACGAAAAGCCGUGGGGGAGCAAAAGGG
rnacentral:rRNA from 1 species